GAUGAAGAACGUAGCGAAAUGCGAUAAGUAAUGUGAAUUGCGGAAUUCAGUGAAUCAUCGAAUCUUUGAACGCACAUUGCGCCCCCUGGUAUUCCGGGGGGCAUGCCUGUCCGAGCGUCAUUACAACCCUCAAGCUCAGCUUGGUGUUGGGCCCCGCCGCCCCGGCGGGCCCUAAAGUCAGUGGCGGUGCCGUCCGGCUCCGAGCGUAGUAAUUCUUCUCGCUCUGGAGGUCCGGUCGUGUGCUCGCCAGCAACCCCCAAUUUUUUUCAGGUUGACCUCGGAUCAGGUAGGGAUACCCGCUGAACUUAAGCAUAUCAAUAAGCGGAGGA
rnacentral:misc_RNA from 1 species